UCCACCUACCUUAAAUGCUCUCAGAAAACCUUUUAAGCUUAGCCUGAGAUCAUCAGUCCCUGCCUGAGCUAUUUGGAGGAGUGCUGGUCUCCAGCUCAGGUGCGCCUGGCCGUGGAGUCCUUUUAUCCUGAGCUUUGUAUGCAGAUUGGUCUCCCAGCUUGAACUUGGCUCUGCCUCAUCAUCACAGCUCUGCCUGGAAUUUUCUAGACCUGACCCAUAGACUGGCUUCCCGGUUUGACCUUAGACCUGCCCUAUCACUAUGCUUUUGGCUUGUGACAUGGGCUCUUGGUUGGACCCGGUUACCAUCUUUGAGUCUGUCCUGCUCGGUUCACUCAGGUGGUGUGGGGCAGGCCAUGGGAUCACCUCAGCUCCUCACCUCCUCUUCCCUUGAGGAGAAGACCUGCUCUUGCUGCUCUCUGAUGCUCUCUUAAAAUAUGUUUGUUAAUGUGUAGGGAUGAGCUAGUGUGGCUGUCAGUACUUAAGCAAUAGUAGAUAGUGAUUUCUGUCCCCUCUGCAGAAGCUUUCUAACUGAAGUUCUUUUUGUCUAAUGAAGAAGGAGUCACUUCCUACUGGCUCCUCUUUCCCUGGAGGCAGCAAAGGGGCAAAAGAUGACGGAAGUAAGGAACAGAAACUUCUGGUGCCCCGCCAUAACAUUUCCACUGCUGAAGAAAAUCUAGAUAAUACUUUUAUUUUCAGACAUGAAAAUUCAUGGUUCAGUUUUCUCUAGAGGACUUUGCUCACGAAUAAAGAUAAUCCCAUAUUCAGUGUUUCACCUGAUUGGAUUGAGCCUGCAAAGCAUUUCUUAUCUAGAUAAAAUAAAAGGCUUUGCAAAAAAAUGCUGGCAAACCACACUCUAUUUAAAUGAACUGUUCAGAACCUAGAACUACUGGAAAAAAAAAAAAAAAAAGAAAGAUCAGAGCAAACCUGUGAGCUGAUGUGAAGGGAGAUGCAGUGGAAAAUGUGAGCAACUUUAUGAAAAAGUUCAGAGAUGGCAAGAAACGUAUCUCAGUCGAGAGUAAAAGUACUUUGUUGGAGGAAGUAAAAUGGCUGCAAAAGUACAGAACCUGCUGAGCUACAGAGAAACAAUUCUUUCUGAAAAGACAGAAGCAGUUCUCAGGGAAAAGCAAAAAGCUCUGGGACUUGCUUUUCAUGGAUGCAUCUACACUAACUUCAGAGCACCAGCCCAAGCUGAAACUUGUCUUG